rnacentral:rRNA from 1 species
UCCGGGAAACCGGGGCUAAUACCGGAUGGUUGUUUGAACCGCAUGGUUCAAACAUAAAAGGUGGCUUCGGCUACCACUUACAGAUGGACCCGCGGCGCAUUAGCUAGUUGGUGAGGUAACGGCUCACCAAGGCAACGAUGCGUAGCCGACCUGAGAGGGUGAUCGGCCACACUGGGACUGAGACACGGCCCAGACUCCUACGGGAGGCAGCAGUAGGGAAUCUUCCGCAAUGGACGAAAGUCUGACGGAGCAACGCCGCGUGAGUGAUGAAGGUUUUCGGAUCGUAAAGCUCUGUUGUUAGGGAAGAACAAGUACCGUUCGAAUAGGGCGGUACCUUGACGGUACCUAACCAGAAAGCCACGGCUAACUACGUGCCAGCAGCCGCGGUAAUACGUAGGUGGCAAGCGUUGUCCGGAAUUAUUGGGCGUAAAGGGCUCGCAGGCGGUUUCUUAAGUCUGAUGUGAAAGCCCCCGGCUCAACCGGGGGAGGGUCAUUGGAAACUGGGGAACUUGAGUGCAGAAGAGGAGAGUGGAAUUCCACGUGUAGCGGUGAAAUGCGUAGAGAUGUGGAGGAACACCAGUGGCGAAGGCGACUCUCUGGUCUGUAACUGACGCUGAGGAGCGAAAGCGUGGGGAGCGAACAGGAUUAGAUACCCUGGUAGUCCACGCCGUAAACGAUGAGUGCUAAGUGUUAGGGGGUUUCCGCCCCUUAGUGCUGCAGCUAACGCAUUAAGCACUCCGCCUGGGGAGUACGGUCGCAAGACUGAAACUCAAAGGAAUUGACGGGGGCCCGCACAAGCGGUGGAGCAUGUGGUUUAAUUCGAAGCAACGCGAAGAACCUUACCAGGUCUUGACAUCCUCUGACAAUCCUAGAGAUAGGACGUCCCCUUCGGGGGCAGAGUGACAGGUGGUGCAUGGUUGUCGUCAGCUCGUGUCGUGAGAUGUUGGGUUAAGUCCCGCAACGAGCGCAACCCUUGAUCUUAGUUGCCAGCAUUCAGUUGGGCACUCUAAGGUGACUGCCGGUGACAAACCGGAGGAAGGUGGGGGAUGACGUCAAAUCAUCAUGCCCCUUAUGACCUGGGCUACACACGUGCUACAAUGGACAGAACAAAGGGCAGCGAAACCCGCGAGGUUAAGCCAAUCCCACAAAUCUGUUCUCAGUUCGGAUCGCAGUCUGCAACUCGACUGCGUGAAGCUGGAAUCGCUAGUAAUCGCGGAUCAGCAUGCCGCGGUGAAUACGUU